AUUUUGUUCCAUCCUGUACCAUGUGAUCACAAGCAUAUAUUUUGGGAUAAAUCCAGUAACACUAAAUUUCCCGGCAAUUUCUGUUGCCUUGGCUACCAUAACGUCAUUCUCUGACGUCACUUCAGGCAACGCAAUGACACUGAAAGGUUUGUGAAUGACCAACUAAAGAUAACUGAAUAUGAUAUUUCCGUCUCAUCAAAAGCUGGCCCUCUUCAACAGAGAAACCAGAAAGUUAUUUACUGAAUUGGAAUAAAAACAUGUAGAAGUAGCUAUGGUAAAAUGAAUUUGAAUUUUUGUCCACCAAAAAAUAUUAAUUGGUAUCAAAUCAUAGAUUUAUUUUAUCUUAACAUAAAAUACCCUGUAUGAAAAGGAGCACACUGCGUCUAAUGCAGGAUGCUUAUUCCCCAUUGCAUC